GACGUAGGGUCCGAGCGUUGUCCGGAGUUACUGGGCGUAAAGCGCGCGCAGGCGGCGGUGCUGGCCCGGCGUGAAAGCCCCCGGCUCAACCGGGGGAGGGUCGUCGGGGACCGCACCGCUUGAGGGCGGUAGGGGCUGGUGGAAUGCCUGGUGUAGUGGUGAAAUGCGUAGAGAUCAGGCGGAACACCCGUGGCGAAGGCGGCCAGCUGGGCCGUCCCUGACGCUGAGGCGCGAAGGCGUGGGGAGCGAACGGG
rnacentral:rRNA from 1 species